ensembl:lncRNA
GUCAUCAACAGAGGUCAUCUCCCAAAUGCCCUUGUGAAAUAUUCAUUAAUCAAAUAACUAAUUUGAAAUGGACCUUCAAAGCAUUAUUCAUUUCCCCAUCAUUCUCCUAACAUCAGUUUAAAUGCUUUGUGGGUAUAAUGAUUAGGCUGAUGUUUAAUUAAUUGUGAAAUUGUGAAUUAAAGCUAAAUUAAAAGAUAAAUCCUUUUUUUUUUAGUGCAUAAGGGAGAAAGAGAGCAAGCCAGAAAGAGACAGUGAGCUUGGUUGGUGGUUUUAGUUGGGGAUUCUUAGCAAGUGUUCCUUUAUUCACAGCAACAAGACAGUGCUGGAUUUUAAGGUUAACCUUUGUGAAGUAAAUCUUAUUCUUCCAUUCUUUCUUGAUGGAUUUCAGUUUCAUCACCACAUCAAUGAGUGAUGCUACAGAUCAUUGAGCAGAUAUGCAGAUGUAAAUAUAACCUGCUAUUCUCAACAAGUUUUAUUAAACUGUUGCGGGGAAUGCACUUCUACUUAGAGGCAGAUAUGGCCAAGCAAACCGAAGAGUUUGGGUCUCUCUCUGAUGGAGGUAUUUAAUUACUGGCAUGCUUCUCAGUCUGUUCUUCCCCUGUCUGAGCAAAUUUAGAAGCCCAAGCCAGCAUGGAGGUAUCAUAUGGACCUCCCAGACUGUGUGAGCAAGAAAUAGACCUUGGUUGGGAUAAGCCAUUCAGGUAAGUUUAAUAUUGUUAGUUAUACUAGCAAAACCAGUUUAUUUUGACUGACAUACUAUUUUGUACUUCUUUGAACCUCCACGGCAUAGCAUGGUACUUGGCACAGAGGAGAUAUCAAGCAUUUGUUGAAUAAGAAAACGCAUGAGUGAAUGAAUAGAAAAUAAUUAACUGUGAAAACAUGUAAGUGCAGACCAUUGCAAAUCAGAAAACAGACUUUGAGGAUUAAAAAUAUAAUAAGUGAAAUAGGUGCCUCCAGACAUUGCAUUACAAAGUCUUCUUAUUUCUUGCAGCAGGAGUAAGUAACUUUGCCAAUAGAACUCAGUUAAAAACAUAAGUCUUUUAUAAGAAACUUUGCUCAUAAAUCUAAGCACUUUGAUUAUCUCACUUAUGAAUGACUUUCUCUAAAAUAUCAGGAAGGUAGGAUUCAUUGAUAUUGGUCUUAGCUACUCAGUGGGAUUUAAAACUCAAUAAUGAAUCCAGGAAGUGGUUUGCAAUUCACUUGAUCAAACAAAGUCUGCCCAAUAAGUGGUAUUAAAUCAGGUGGAGACCAAUUAUCAGGAUCUUUUUUCAGUAGACCUUUGUGACUGCAUGAAUAUAUUCUCACCUGGUUAGAAAUAAUAGCAUGGCAUAUGCUGUUAUGUGCCUUUGCUUCUGCAUUUACAAAAGCCCACAGCCUAACGUCAAUACUGGAGGCAGGGUCUUUCUUUUCUGGUACAUUGAUUUUAAAUUAAAUUAACUUUGAUCUUUAGGUCAUCUCCCAGAUUCUAAAAGCUGAAUGCCUCAUUAAUGGUGAAAACAGUAGGAGUAAAUGUAUUGGAGCAGGUUGAACAAUUUAAAUACUUUGAAAUGCAACUAGUGCAAAGUAAGAGUAUUGCAAGCUAGCUAAUUAACAGUUAUUUCCAGUCAUGCUGAUGAGGAAAAACUGCUUGAGCGGGUGAUUCUUGGAAAAUAGUUGGGACCUUCCAAGCUCCUCUCUUGCCCUCUGUUCUUUGGGUCCUUCUGCUGUGCUCACACAAAUUUCAUUGUCCACUUGAAUCAUGAUGGUCCCGAUCUAUUCCCACAAUAUUCUCCACUUUUCGGAAGGCUGUAUUAGUUAUCUAUUGCUGCAUAACAAAUUACUCCAAAAUUUAGUGGCUUAAACAUUUAUUUUCUCAUAGUCUCUGUGGGUCAGGAAUCGUCUGCUUCAGUGUCUCCCACAGUCUGCUAUAAAGGGGCCAACUGGGGCUGCAGUCACUCUAAGACAUGAAAGGAAAUCUGCUUAGGGAAGAAUCUACUUUCAAACUCAAUCAUGUAGUUGUUGGCGAGAUUCAGCUUCUUGCGGGCUAUUGAAUUGAGAGGUUUCAGUUCUUUGAGGGCUGUUGGGCAGAAACAACCCCAAGUUCCAUAAAACAUAGACAUAUUCAUAGGGCAGCUCAAAACAUGAUGAAUUGCUUCAUCAGAGCAAGCAAGAAAAAGGAGCCAGAAGAGAAAAUGAGAGUGAGAGCGAGAGAGAGAGCUGGAGAGAAAGAGCAAGAGCAAGAUGGAAG